GAACCGCUGGGGCACGGCAGGAGACCGAACCGAGGGUCGUUCGCACGAAGCGUAGAAUGCUUUUUGACUGAAUCUCCGAGGUCGAGGACCCCGUACCCACAUGAUAUUCCGCACUCGAGAGACCGAGCGAACCGUCGUGGUUCGUCGGGCCAGACGCCGUUUCACGGGCGAACGGGGCGCGAGACACGACGGGCGCUGUUUGGCCCACCCCGCACCGCCAACCCUUGAAAAGCAGCAGUACGAGAUGGGAAUGGGACGAUGGUAGCCGGUAGAAUGCCCUCGUGAUAGGUAUACAGCACAGGAAAACCAACGCCGGACGAGCACUUUUGCUCGCGCCAACAACUGCAAAGACGCGGACGGGAUGUCGUCGCUGCCUGAGCAGGGAUCCGACAUGCCGUUGCGCGCCAACCACCACUC
rnacentral:misc_RNA from 1 species